rnacentral:misc_RNA from 1 species
GUUUCUCUCUCAAUCUGCAGACUAAGAUCUGUAGCCAGAAUCUGAGUGAGUGAGCAAGUGUGUGCUAUAUAUAUAUAUUUUUUUUCUUAAAAGAUAAGCUGAAAUUUUAAUGUUUUUAAGCCCAUGGUUUUCUCGGAUCCUUCCUCUAUCUUUCUUUCCUGCUUCUUUCCUGGAUUUCCGAUCUAGAUUUCUUCCAGAUUACUUACCAAUUCCGAUACUCAUUUUACUGAGCGAAAAUGCAGUCACUUCGGCUAAAGAAGCCCAAUAUUGCGGCCUGCACUGAUGAUUGCAACUCCAGCCGUAGAUUCAGAGAAGUUCACGUGUGAAUUGGGGUGGAGAUCUUUGAAACAAGCAGCUGGAACACCAAUGAAGAAGUUAUUAGCUGAAGAGAUGUCAAGAGAAGCUGAAUCAAAGACAAGGUCUCCUAGUGUUAUUGCCCGAUUGAUGGGCUUUGAUGGACUGCCAGCUCAGCAGCUGUCUCAUAAACAACAUAAAAAGUCAUCGGAGAACUAUUUACAGAGGAUAGCGCCAACAGAAAAGUCCCAAAGAAGUAGCGCAUCAUGUAGUCGUAGUUCAUCCAGAAAAGGCUCAAAGGAGGAGCAAGAAUUCAAAGAUGUAUUUGAAGUUUUAGACGCAUCAAAAAGAGAGAGUAGGUACUUGUUGCAGGGGACUGCAAACUCAAAGCUAACUGAAGCUGAGAUGACAUUCAUUAAGCAGAAAUUCAUGGAUGUCACAUGUCUUUCAAGUGAUGAAAAACUUAAUGAUUUGAAGGAAUUUCAGGAUGCAAUAGAUGAUCUAGACUCCAACAAAGAUCUUCUCCUGAAAUUUCUUGAGCAGCCGGAUUCAUUGUUUGCAAAGCAUCUACAUGAUCUGCAAGCUGCCCUUCCUCAGUCCCAUUGUCGUCGCAUAUCAGGUAUGAAGUCAUCACAUGCUCCAGAGCAUGAAGGCGGUGGCCUGGGAUGCAAAGUAGAGAGAAAAAUGCCAUGGAAGAAUCAUAGGAAGCACCAAAGUAAUCCUCUUAGCCAUUCUUACCGUAAACAAGCUGCUGAUAAUCCACUCAAGGCAUCAAAACUUCAAUUAGAAGGGAAAGAACAACCUUCUGUUCUUCCUACACGGAUUGUUGUACUGAAACCAAACUUUGGUAAAGUGCAUAAUGCUACCAAAAUUGUUUCAUCAACACGUUCUUCUCAUGAUUUUCUUUCAGAUUGUAAGAGGCACACUGAACUUCCUAGUAUCAAGAAUAGGGAGGCAGAUUUAUUUGGAAAUGAAAAAUUUCCUGAUCAGGUAGCACUACCAAGAUAUAAGUCCAGAGAGUCUAGAGAAAUUGCGAAGGAGAUCACCAGGCAAAUGAAAAAUAGUCUUGGAAGUGGUUCCAUAAAGUUCUCAACCUUGGGAUUUAGAGGAUAUGCUGGGGAUGAGAGUUCAUCAAACAGGUCUGACAAUGAAUCAGCAAAUGACUCAGAUGUGCAGACAGUGAUUUCUAGAAGUUCUAUUGGUUGGAGCAAUCGAUACAGGUCUUCAUCAUCUCACUCUUCUGAAUCAUCUGUGAGCAGGGAGGCCAAGAAGAGACUCUCAGAGAGGUGGAAGAUGACCCAUAGUCAUAGGUAUGUAGAUAUGGGAGUGGUUGGUAGGGGUAGCACACUAGGUGAAAUGCUUGCUUUGCCUGGUAAGGAAAGAAGGCCAGCUAAUGUGGAUGCCAUGAUUGUUGGACAAGGAUUUAUUCACAAUUUUGAUGGCAAUGAUGAACCGGCAGGGAGUGUUGAACCUUUGGGUAUUAGCAGUAGGGAUGGCUGGAAAGACGGAUGCAUUAGAAAUCUUUCUAGAUCAAGAUCUGUUCCUGCUUCAUGUACUACUAUUGGUAGUCCGAAAACAGGCAUGCGCUAUGAAAGUCUUUGCAAUGACCAGCAUAUAUUACCAAAAGAAUUAAUGCAGCAGGAAAGCGUCAAGGCAGUUAAGGGGAAGCCCAAUCAGCGAGAAAGUUCAUCUUCUAGAAAUUCAAGAUCUCGUAUUAAGAAAUCUCAUUUCUACAAGUUCACUUGUACAGAUCAUAGUGACACUUCACCAGAAAUUAAUGUCAGCCAUAAGCAAGUGCAGAGCAGUAUCACAGAUGAUGAUCAAUUUAAACCAUGUCAUAUGGUUUCCAAGACGUCAGCUUCAAUUGUCACAGAUAUGAGUUUCAUUCCUGAGAAUGUUUUGGAUGUAGCAAUUGAGAAUGUGGCCAUGCCUUCUAAAAAUACUGACUCAGAAUUACCAGCUUAUAUGUUGGUAAAAGGCAAUUCUUCUUCUAGUGACCCAGAGGCUUUAAUUUCACAGGAACCAUUAAAUGGGCCACCUGAUGAAAGUUCAGCUCCUGUUCAGCACUCUGUAGCAGAGCUACAAUCUCCAGCAAGCUCUAAGGAGGCUGAACAGCCCAGUCCUGUUUCAGUUCUUGAAACUCCUUUCCCGGAUGAUCUAUCUUCGAGUUCUGAAUGCUUUGAGACUCUCAGUGCUGACCUACAUGGACUUCGGAUGCAGCUUCAGCUACUCAAAUUGGAGUCGGAAGCAUAUGCAGAGGGUCCCAUACACAUCUCAAGCGAUGAAGAUGUUGAGGAAGGCUGUGUUGGAUUUUCAGAGGAGAAAGGAAUAGUUGAACAGAGCAGGGAAUUUUCCUAUGUAGUUGAUGUUCUACUAGAAUCUGGUAUUAAUGAUGCUGACCCUGACACUUUCAUGGCGUCGUGGCACUCUCCAGAAUGCCCAGUGAAUCUCCUAGUAUUUGAAGAACUGGAGAAGAAGCAUUGCAAUGUCAUUUCAUGGCCAAGGUCUGAAAGGAAGCUGCUAUUUGACCGAGUAAAUUCAGCUAUCCUUGUGAUAAGCCAACAAUUUGCGGAUCCACACCCCUGGGUGAGGUCUGCAGCUGCAGUCAUUCCCAGGUGGAUUAAACAUGGACUUGAGGAUGGCAUCAACAAAUUGCUGGCAAGCCAAGAUAAGAAAGCUAAUGACAAUGUGGCGGAGAAGGUACUGGUAUCAGACUCUAAGUGGCUGGAUUUGAGAGAUGACAUUGAUGUAGUUGGUCGGGAAAUUGAGAGAAUGAUGAUAGAAGAGUUAGUGAAAGAAAUAGUAGCAGCAUAGAGAUUAUGCACGGAAGUGCCCUUUUGGUUUAGGAAACUAUGAAUAUAAAAAAAAAUGAACAGAUAGAAUGUUCAUUUCAAUUAGGGAAGAUGAAAUAAAUUGAUAGAAUCCCUUGAACCAAAAACAAAAUUCCAGAAUGGUGAUUGAGGAAAAGUACUAAUCCAAGAAUCAGCAAAAAAAAAAAAAAAUCUUCAAUAUGGCUGGAUUUGUCUCCAGGCUAUGAUUAUGAUCUGACGCUUAACCUGUUUAACAUGCUGGUGUCUCGCAGAUGAUAAGUAUCUAUGCUAUUGGAAGAAAACUUUCGAAGAAUUUGUGGUUGAUUUUUUCCCCCUCCCUUCAGAAGGUUUUUAUUGAAAAUUUUAAGCGGGUAGAUAAUAUAAUAAUUC